rnacentral:rRNA from 1 species
CCUACGGGGGGCUGCAGUGGGGAAUAUUGGACAAUGGGGGGAACCCUGAUCCAGCCAUGCCGCGUGUGUGAAGAAGGCCCUCGGGUUGUAAAGCACUUUCAGUGAGGAAGAACGCCUGGUGGUUAAUACCCAUCAGGAAAGACAUCACUCACAGAAGAAGCACCGGCUAACUCCGUGCCAGCAGCCGCGGUAAUACGGAGGGUGCGAGCGUUAAUCAGAAUUACUGGGCGUAAAGCGCGCGUAGGUGGCUUGAUAAGCCGGUUGUGAAAGCCCCGGGCUCAACCUGGGAACGGCAUCCGGAACUGUCAAGCUAGAGUGCAGGAGAGGAAGGUAGAAUUCCCGGUGUAGCGGUGAAAUGCGUAGAGAUCGGGAGGAAUACCAGUGGCGAAGGCGGCCUUCUGGACUGACACUGACACUGAGGUGCGAAAGCGUGGGUAGCAAACAGGAUUAGAUACCCCAGUAGUC